GAUGAACGCUAGCUACAGGCUUAACACAUGCAAGUCGAGGGGAAACGACAUCGAAAGCUUUCUUUUGAUGGGCGUCGACCGGCGCACGGGUGAGUAACGCGUAUCCAACCUGCCCAUCACUUGGGAAUAACCUUGCGAAUGUAAGACUAAUACCCAAUGAUAUCCCACGAAGGCAUCGGAAUGGGAUUAAAGAUUUAUCGGUGAUGGAUGGGGAUGGGUCUGAUUAGCUUGUUGGCGUGGUAACGGCCCACCAAGGCAACGAUACGUAGGGGUUCUGAGAGGAGGAGCAGGCACACCGCAAUUGAAACUCGGCCCAGACCCAAACGCGAGGGGGGGGUGGAGAAGAGUAGACAAGGCGAGAGGGCGUGAGCCAGACCAGCCGAGUAGGGGAAGAGGAGACGGGCCUAGGGGUUGUAAACUGCUUUUAUAAGGGAAUAAAGUGGGUAACGUGUGACUUUUUGAAUGUACCUUAUGAAUAAGGACCGGCUAAUUCCGUG
rnacentral:rRNA from 1 species